rnacentral:rRNA from 1 species
GAUGAACGCUAGCUACAGGCUUAACACAUGCAAGUCGAGGGGUAACGAGAGGGAAGCUUGCUUUCCUUGUCGACGACCGGCGCACGGGUGAGUAACGCGUAUCCAACCUGCCCCCAACUAGGGAAUAACCUUGCGAAAGUAAGACUAAUACCCUAUAAUUUCCUCAGAUGUCAUCUGACGAGGAAUAAAGAUUUAUCGGUUGUGGAUGGGGAUGCGUCUGAUUAGCUUGUUGGCGGGGUAACGGCCCACCAAGGCAACGAUCAGUAGGGGUUCUGAGAGGAAGGUCCCCCACAUUUGAACUGAGACACGGUCCAAACUCCUACGGGAGGCAGCAGUGAGGAAUAUUGGUCAAUGGGCGGAAGCCUGAACCAGCCAAGUAGCGUGCAGGAUGACGUCCCUAUGGGUUGUAAACUGCUUUUAUACAGGAAUAAAGUUAGCCACGUGUGGUUAUUUGUAGGUACUGUAUGAAUAAGGACCGGCUAAUUCCGUGCCAGCAGCCGCCGUAA